GACGUAGGGCGCGAGCGUUGUCCGGAUUUAUUGGGCGUAAAGGGCUCGUAGGCGGUCUGUUGCGUCGGGAGUGAAAACUCAGGGCUUAACCCUGAGCCUGCUUCCGAUACGGGCAGACUAGAGGUAUGCAGGGGAGAACGGAAUUCCUGGUGUAGCGGUGAAAUGCGCAGAUAUCAGGAGGAACACCGGUGGCGAAGGCGGUUCUCUGGGCAUUACCUGACGCUGAGGAGCGAAAGUGUGGGGAGCGAACAGG
rnacentral:rRNA from 1 species